GGUUCGAAUUCGAUUUUAGGGUUUUUAAGAUGCACAUCGCCAGAUCUAGGGUUACGAAAUCUUUUUUUUCACAUCCUUUCUCUUCACCUCAUACCAUCACAGUUAGUGUGACAAUGAAUUAGGGUUUUCACUUUGGGGGAAACUUUGCAACAUUUUUAGAUUCGGCUGAUUUUCUCUCAUCAGGUGAAAUCAAGGAGGCAGUUGAGUAUCCUUUAACUCACCCUGAGUUAUAUGAAGACAUCGGUAUUAAACCUCCAAAGGGC